rnacentral:rRNA from 1 species
AUUGAACGCUGGCGGCAUGCUUUACACAUGCGAGUCGAACGGCAGCGCGGGCUUCGGCCUGGCGGCGAGUGGCGAACGGGUGAGUAAUACAUCGGAACGUGCCCAGUAGUGGGGGAUAGCUCGGCGAAAGCCGGAUUAAUACCGCAUACGACCUGAGGGUGAAAGCGGGGGAUCUUCGGACCUCGCGCUAUUGGAGCGGCCGAUGGCAGAUUAGCUAGUUGGUGGGGUAAAGGCCUACCAAGGCGACGAUCUGUAGCUGGUCUGAGAGGGCGACCAGCCACACUGGGACUGAGACACGGCCCAGACUCCUACGGGAGGCAGCAGUGGGGAAUUUUGGACAAUGGGCGAAAGCCUGAUCCAGCAAUGCCGCGUGUGUGAUGAAGGCCUUCGGGUUGUAAAGCACUUUUGGCGGGAACGAAAAGGACUGUGCCAAUACCACGGUUCGAUGACGGUACCCGCAGAAUAAGCACCGGCUAACUACGUG